rnacentral:rRNA from 1 species
AUGGAUAACCUACCCUGGAGUUGGGCAUAGCCAUUCUAACGAAUGGGUAAUUCCCGAUGGCCCAGCGAGGAGACAUCUCUUUGCUGGUAAAGAGUUUCGCUCCGGGAGGGGUCCAUGUGCUAUUAGCUAGUUGGUUGGGGUAACGGCCCACCAAGGCUAAGAUGGCUAGCGGGUGUGAGAGCACGACCCGCGCCACUGGCACUGAGACACUGGCCAGACACCUACGGGUGGCUGCAGUCGAGGAUCUUCGUCAAUGGGCGAAAGCCUGAACGAGCGACGCCGCGUGCGCGAUGAAGGCCUUCGGGUUGUAAAGCGCGAAAGAUGGGACGAAAGCCGAAAGGUUUGACCGAUCAUCAGUAAGCUCGGGCUAAGUUCGUGCCAGCAGCCGCGGUAAGACGAACCGAGCAAACGUUAUUCGGAAUCACUGGGCUUAAAGGGCGCGUAGGCGGGCAUUCAAGUCUGUGGUGAAAUCCAACAGCUCAACUGUUGAACUGCCGCGGGAUACUGGGUGUCUC